rnacentral:rRNA from 1 species
CAAAAAGCUGAGGAAAACGAAACCAACAGGGAUUGCCCUAGUAACGGCGAGUGAACAGGCAAGAGCUCAGAUUUGAAAGGCACUUUUGUGCCGUUGUAUUCUGAAGUUAGGGUCCUGAGAAACGAUGCUUAAGUCUUCUGGAAAGGAGCGCCAUGGAGGGUGAUAGCCCCGUCUAGCAUUGACCUCAUAUAGGAUCUUAACAUGGAGUCGAGUUGUUUGGGAAUGCAGCUCAAAUGGGUGGUAUGCUCCAUCUAAAGCUAAAUAUCUGCGAGAGACCGAUAGUAAACAAGUACUGUGAGGGAAAGAUGAAAAGAACUUUGAAAAGAGAGUGAAAAAGUACGUGAAAUUGUUGAAAUGGAAGGGUAGGCCGCUAACCAUGUAGAGCCGUGUUUGGGGGGAAGAUAAAUGCUGUAGAAUGUAGCUCCUCGGAGUAUUAUAGAUGCAGUUCAUAUUCCCACCCGAGCGCGAGGAUCUCAGGUUCUACUAAAUGGUGGUCUACCACCCGUCUUA